GUCUACGGCCAUACCACCCUGAACGCGCCCGAUCUCGUCUGAUCUCGGAAGCUAAGCAGGGUCGGGCCUGGUUAGUACUUGGAUGGGAGGAAAGACCAUCCAUCCCAAUAUG
rnacentral:rRNA from 1 species